rnacentral:rRNA from 1 species
UGCAGUCGAACGAUGAUCCCAGCUUGCUGGGGGAUUAGUGGCGAACGGGUGAGUAACACGUGAGUAACCUGCCCUUGACUCUGGGAUAAGCCUGGGAAACUGGGUCUAAUACCGGAUACGACCAUCUGGCGCAUGUCAUGGUGGUGGAAAGCUUUUGUGGUUUUGGAUGGACUCGCGGCCUAUCAGCUUGUUGGUGGGGUAAUGGCCUACCAAGGCGACGACGGGUAGCCGGCCUGAGAGGGUGACCGGCCACACUGGGACUGAGACACGGCCCAGACUCCUACGGGAGGCAGCAGUGGGGAAUAUUGCACAAUGGGCGCAAGCCUGAUGCAGCGACGCCGCGUGAGGGAUGACGGCCUUCGGGUUGUAAACCUCUUUCAGUAGGGAAGAAGCGAAAGUGACGGUACCUGCAGAAGAAGCGCCGGCUAACUACGUGCCAGCAGCCGCGGUAAUACGUAGGGCGCAAGCGUUAUCCGGAAUUAUUGGGCGUAAAGAGCUCGUAGGCGGUUUGUCGCGUCUGCUGUGAAAGACCGGGGCUCAACUCCGGUUCUGCAGUGGGUACGGGCAGACUAGAGUGCAGUAGGGGAGACUGGAAUUCCUGGUGUAGCGGUGAAAUGCGCAGAUAUCAGGAGGAACACCGAUGGCGAAGGCAGGUCUCUGGGCUGUAACUGACGCUGAGGAGCGAAAGCAUGGGGAGCGAACAGGAU